rnacentral:rRNA from 1 species
UACAGAGGGGGCAAGCGUUGUCCGGAUUUACUGGGCGUAAAGCGUGCGCAGGCGGUUUUGUAAGUCAGAUGUGAAAGCCCCGGGCUCAACCUGGGAAUUGCAUUUGAAACUACAAGGCUAGAGUGUGUCAGAGGGGGGUAGAAUUCCACGUGUAGCAGUGAAAUGCGUAGAGAUGUGGAGGAACACCGAUGGCGAAGGCAGCCCCCCUGGGUCAACACUGACGCUCAUGCACGAAAGCGUGGGGAGCAAGCAGG